AUUGAACGCUGGCGGCAUGCCUUACACAUGCAAGUCGAACGGCAGCACGGGGCAACCUGGUGGCGAGUGGCGAACGGGUGAGUAAUGCAUCGGAACGUACCUUUCAGUGGGGGAUAACGUAGCGAAAGUUACGCUAAUACCGCAUAUUCUGUGAGCAGGAAAGCAGGGGAUCGCAAGACCUUGCGCUGAUUGAGCGGCCGAUGUCAGAUUAGCUAGUUGGUGAGGUAAAGGCUCACCAAGGCGACGAUCUGUAGCGGGUCUGAGAGGAUGAUCGGCCGCACUGGAACUGAGACACGGUCCAGACUCCUACGGGAGGCAGCAGUGGGGAAUUUUGGACAAUGGGGGCAACCCUGAUCCAGCCAUGCCGCGUGAGUGAAGAAGGCCUUCGGGUUGUAAAGCUCUUUCGGCCGGGAAGAAAUCGCACGGGCUAAUACCCUGUGUGGAUGACGGUACCGGAAUAAGAAGCACCGGCUAACUACGUGCCAGCAGCCGCCGUAACAC
rnacentral:rRNA from 1 species